AUCUAUGCUAUGAAAAUUCAAACCCAUUUACACAAACCAUUUUUGCUCCUCCUGGUUGCUUGUUCCUCUUUGUCUUGCUCCUUUUGGCUAUAAUCGAACAAUAGGUUGCAUAUGGUUAGUCAUCAUGUUUAUUGAGUAAUUUGGUAUUGAUUAUGUAAGCAAUCGAUAAGGUAAAAGAACUGGCAUAGGGAGAAAAAGUUUGGAAGAGAAGAAAAGUCUGCUGCUACAACUCUGUCAUCAAAGGUUGUGAAUGUCGUUCUUGCAAUCGGAACUGAUGAUAGGCUGAACAUCAAAAUUAAGAAGCUUCCAGAAUUGCUAGUGUUUCAACAGCUAUGGCCUUCCCUACAAAUUGAAUAGGGGUACCAAAGGCAUGAAGCAAAUGUCCACAGCUAUCUAUAGCCGCCAUUCUGAUGCUUGCUUUUUCCUUCUCCCGUUGUAGCCAUGGAUCAUGAAAACAACAACCCCAUCUCGGGCCAAAGUAAUGUUACAUCAUAAAUCUUGUUUGAUAUAGGAUUCACAACUGCUGAAUUAUUCACAACAUCGUCAGAUUCAUGUAAAUCAAACAAAGGUUUAUUAACAACGUCAUUAGGUUCAUAUGUACGACCAUUAAAGCAUAAUGAACUUCCCGCUUUUCACAUUUGCCA
rnacentral:lncRNA from 1 species